CUGUGUAAUGUCUCAGCACCAUGUCCUCCGACAAUGAGGCCUCCUUCACUGAACUGCAGCACUAAUGUGGCCCUGGUGUCCUGGGUGAAGGACCCAGAUGCUGUGAGGGUCCGUGUCAAUGCCACCUCUGUCCUGGGACACACCGUCACCUGCAGCUCUUCUGCAAACAACUGUUCCAUGGAUGCCUUGCUAUGUGGUCAGACGUACAGUGUGUAUGCUGUGGCCCAGGGCCCUCAGUGUGAGAGUGCACCUAGUGCUCCAUUCACUAUUGUCACAGGUAGGUGCACCACAUAUUCAUAAUUCAGCAUUAAAUGAGCAGUGUUGGGGGUGAAGCAAGUUAUCUAAUCAGAUUACUUUUUUUCAAGUAACUAGUAAAGUACUUAAAACAUUACUUUGUAACAUUUUUUGUUCAAGAUUAAUAUAAUGAGUGUGUACAUCAUAAAUCCAUCUGCCAAUUAAGUCAUUGGGAUUAUCCUGAAUCACUUUGGUAUGCCAAUGAUAAGCAUUUAUAUUCUGACUAUUUUAAACCUGUCAGAAAAACACCCGCUACAAGUAGCCUAAUACCUGCAUGCUCAUCAUCAAAUCAUCAAAUCUACAAUUAAAGCGAAUUAGCUCCAGCUACAAUGUUCUUCCACAAGAUGCAUGCAGUUUUGUUUAUUAACUGCUAGAGGGCCAACAUGGUGUAAUUAAUUGACAAUUAAAUUCAAAGUCAUAAAAGUCGUGCUGCAGCGGUUCCCCAUGAUACCUCCCAGCACAACUGUCUACUGCUUACUCACAGACUGAUAAUUCAGCCAGGCCAAAAUAAACAUUCAGAGCUUAAUAAAAGCGCUCUUCUGUUACUGUUUGCCAGCCCCCUGCACCCCAGCCAAAGUGAAUGCUAACUACAGCUGUGGCACCAGCACAGAGCUGAGCUGGACUGACAGUCUGGGCCGAGAGAGCUUCUAUGUGCUUGCACAGACGACCGGUCACUCAGACUCCUGCAGUACAGUCCAAACCCACUGCUCCAUCAAUUCACUGAGAUGUGGAAGUCUUUAUAAUGUCUCUGUGGAUUCAAUCUCUGGACACUGCAACAGCAGCCACGCAGCCCGCACGCAGCUACAGACAGCUCCUUGUGCCCCAAGUAAUGUGACUGUAAGACUUCAGUGUUUGAACAACACUGCCGUUGUGUCCUGGGAGGGAAGUCCUGGUGCCGUGGGCUAUAACGUCACUGCUGUGGGACAUGAUGGUGAUAUCAAGCACAGUACCGUCACUGGCACCAGUUGUCAACUACCCAACAUGCACUGUGGUCAGACCUAUGACAUCAUUAUUACACCCUUCUCUCAGACAUGCGCUGGGUUCCCGACUGCUCCCUACACUUUCAAUGCAGGUGUGUAUUGGCAGUUUCCACAAAUGGGGUACCAAUUACAGUCUCAUUGCUUUUGUAAUAAAAAAUAAAGGGGCCAAAGACAAUGUAUUUUGCAGUGAGGGUUAUUAAAAAAACUAUAAUGUAAGAUAAAAUUAACAAGCUUAACAUUAACAUACUGUAAGUGUCCAACAAUAAAGCAUCCUAAUUCUUUCAAUUAAAGAAUUGAUUGUUAAUCUAUAUUAAUUAGCAAAAAUGCUACACAUUUACCGUAUGAUUAUCACAAAGCAUGCAACAUUAGGUAUAUUUGUG
rnacentral:lncRNA from 1 species